UACGUAGGGGGCAAGCGUUGUUCGGAAUUACUGGGCGUAAAGGGCGCGUAGGCGGCACAGCAAGUCGGGAGUGAAAGCCCGGAGCUCAACUCCGGGUCGGCCGUCGAUACUCUCGUGCUUGAGCACUGUAGAGGCAGGUGGAAUUCCGGGUGUAGCGGUGGAAUGCGUAGAGAUCCGGAAGAACACCGGUGGCGAAGGCGGGUCUCUGGGCCGUAACUGACGCUGAGGCACGAAGGCCAGGGGAGCAAACGGG
rnacentral:rRNA from 1 species